UGUUUCGGCUAGGGGGCCAUCCCGGCUUACCAACCCGAUGCAAACUGCGAAUACCGGAGAAUGUUAUCACGGGAGACACACGGCGGGUGCUAACGUCCGUCGUGAAGAGGGAAACAACCCAGACCGCCAGCUAAGGUCCCAAAGUCAUGGUUAAGUGGGAAACGAUGUGGGAAGGCCCAGACAGCCAGGAUGUUGGCUUAGAAGCAGCCAUCAUUUAAAGAAAGCGUAAUAGCUCACUGGUCGAGUCGGCCUGCGCGGAAGAUGUAACGGGGCUAAACCAUGCACCGAAGCUGCGGCAGCGACACUAUGUGUUGUUGGGUAGGGGAGCGUUCUGUAAGCCUGCGAAGGUGGCCUGUGAGGGUUGCUGGAGGUAUCAGAAGUGCGAAUGCUGACAUAAGUAACGAUAAAGCGGGUGAAAAGCCCGCUCGCCGGAAGACCAAGGGUUCCUGUCCAACGUUAAUCGGGGCAGGGUGAGUCGACCCCUAAGGCGAGGCCGAAAGGCGUAGUCGAUGGGAAACGGGUUAAUAUUCCCGUACUUGGUGUUACUGCGAAGGGGGGACGGAGAAGGCUAUGUUGGCCGGGCGACGGUUGUCCCGGUUUAAGCGUGUAGGUGUGUGUUCCAGGUAAAUCCGGUUCACUUUAA
rnacentral:rRNA from 1 species